AUUGAACGCUGGCGGCAGGCUUAACACAUGCAAGUCGAGCGGGGAUAGGGUGCUUGCACCUUAGCUUAGCGGCGGACGGGUGAGUAAUGCUUAGGAAUCUGCCUAUUAGUGGGGGACAACAUUCCGAAAGGGAUGCUAAUACCGCAUACGCCCUACGGGGGAAAGCAGGGGAUCUUCGGACCUUGCGCUAAUAGAUGAGCCUAAGUCGGAUUAGCUAGUUGGUGGGGUAAAGGCCUACCAAGGCGACGAUCUGUAGCGGGUCUGAGAGGAUGAUCCGCCACACUGGGACUGAGACACGGCCCAGACUCCUACGGGAGGCAGCAGUGGGGAAUAUUGGACAAUGGGGGGAACCCUGAUCCAGCCAUGCCGCGUGUGUGAAGAAGGCCUUUUGGUUGUAAAGCACUUUAAGCGAGGAGGAGGCGCUCUAGGAUAAUACCCUAGAUGCGUGGACGUUACUCGCAGAAUAAGCACCGGCUAACUCUGUGCCAGCCGCCGCGGUAAUAC
rnacentral:rRNA from 1 species